CCAGCCCAAAAACCAAACCGUCCCGUUUUCCCCUCACACUAAAUAAACCCUAGACAUAGAACAAAAGAAAUCAGACCCUACCCCAAGAGAACAACGCCGUUCCCAUCUUCUUCAGCAAAAUUUCUGCUGCACCGCUUGGAUUCUCAUUGUUUGAGGGUGGUUUGAAUUUAUAGCUGGAGUUCGCUUGGUUUAGUCCGAGAUUUCUGGUGUCAUUGUUGUGUCAGCUGUGUUGGUUCGCUGCCAAUUUCGAAGUGAUUCGCCUGGGCUGCGAAUUUUCUUUCUCCGAUUUCGGACUGCUGUUAGUUGCUGUUUUCAUCUCAAUUGGUAGCUGGACUCAUCGUAGUUAUUCUCAGCCUUUGUUCGGCCUUUUAAAAUUUGCUUGUCGCUAUUUAGCUGGGUGGGCCUAUACAAUAGCCCAACCCUAGUAAGUAGCCCAUCUAGCACAACAUCCAAGUUAGGGCGAAAACGACAUCGUUCGCAUUUGGCGGGGAAUUGAUCUUUUACGCAUUCUGCUGCAAUUGCCUCUUUUUAGUCUGCUCAUUCACUGACAGCCUUCCCAAGCACCCCAAGGAAAAUUGGUCGCGAAUCAGGCUCCUGUUUUCCUCAUUCUCUUAGAGUAGUUUGGCUCAAAUUUGAAGAUGUUGUGGGUUGACAAGUACCGCCCCAAAACCCUAGACAAAGUUAUUGUCCACGAGGAUGUUGCUCAAAAUCUUCAAAAGCUGGUGUUAGCGGGAGAUUGUCCUCAUCUUCUCUUUUAUGGCCCUUCCGGGUCAGGGAAGAAAACUCUGAUUAUGGCACUUCUGAGGCAGAUUUUUGGUCCAAGUGCCGAUAAGGUUAAGGUUGA